UCCAGACUCCUACGGGAGGCAGCAGUGGGGAAUAUUGCGCAAUGGGCGAAAGCCUGACGCAGCGACGCCGCGUGAGGGAUGAAGGUCUUCGGAUCGUAAACCUCUGUCAGCAGGGAAGAACGGUCACUGUGCUAAUCAGCAGUGAAUUGACGGUACCUGCAAAGGAAGCACCGGCUAACUCCGUGCCAGCAGCCGCGGUAAUACGGAGGAUGCGAGCGUUAUCCGGAUUUAUUGGGUUUAAAGGGUGCGUAGGCGGACUGGAAAGUCAGCGGUAAAAUCGAGAGGCUCAACCUCUUUCCGCCGUUGAAACUGUCGGUCUUGAGUGGGCGAGAAGUAUGCGGAAUGCGUGGUGUAGCGGUGAAAUGCAUAGAUAUCACGCAGAACUCCGAUUGCGAAGGCAGCAUACCGGCGCCCGACUGACGCUGAGGCACGAAAGCGUGGGUAUCGAACAGGAUUAGAUACCCUAGUAGA
rnacentral:rRNA from 1 species